AAAGGGGUGCCCGAUAUAGCGGCUGAGAUUAUACCCUAUGAACCUGAUACGGGUAAUACCGGCGAAGGAAUUGUUCAUA
rnacentral:ncRNA from 1 species